GUAUUUCUGAGGACAUGAAAGAUCAAGAAUGAUUACUUAGACUGACUGACGUGAACUAAGCACACACCGCUCUCCAAAUGGUUCGCUCCAAAUAUGGACCCCCAGUGCUCUAUUACAGCGCACGCCAUUGGGUUACUUAAACAAUACCUAUUGUUUACCCUCGAUAUGUCUUUUUUCGCGCGAAAUAUUCGCGAAUAAAGCGCAUAGUCAAAAAAAUCCUUUUUUAUAAUUAGAACUUUUAUCUUGUUACAAUAUGUCAAGUAAUAUCCUAGCACUAAUGUCGAAAUCUGAUGUAAGAUAUAGGAGGCUAUCAAUAAACAGUGACGAGCUGUCAUCGAUACAAAACGUGAAAAACAAAAUCAUACAAUAAACUAUUCUUUCUGUAGUGAGACCCUUGUAUUGAAAGAAAAUAGUCAUCAGCAAACAACAUAAGUUCCUACCAGCAGUAAUAGACUAUAUAUCGAUUAAGCUCAAAGAUGGUGCAAAGGAUGAUUUGCAAGAAAAAGAAUAAAUUGGGGGAUAGCUUGUGUUAACGAAAAUAUAUCCCUCAUUGCAAGGAAAUGCGCCUCAAAGCAAGGAAAUGCGCUGUAGAGUUAACUCACUUUUUGGUAUGAAGAAAAGAUGAGCUUUGAGAAUUUUAAACAGAAUAUAUCAGCUACUUCCGAGGCCAAUAAUAGGCAAUUGACGUCAUUUACCGCUAGAAGAAAGUGGGAUUAGAAAGGCGGCAUCCUAAAUAAAGCGUGGAUAACGGAGGAUUUCCCCGAUCCGUUCCGUCCGACAAUCCCGAUCUUUUCGCCGGCGCUGACGCUAAACGUGAGAUCCUUGAGCGCCCGCAGUCCAUCCUUUUCGUAGGUCAGCGAGA